rnacentral:tmRNA from 1 species
GGGGAUGACCGGUUUUGACAGCAGGUAGAGUUCGAUUGUAAGCACGUCGAGCGCUGUGCGGCAGCUCGUAAAUCCCGACGCUCAACGUACAAAUGGCAACAACAGCUAUGCACUCGCUGCCUAAUUUUCAGAGAAAAUUGGCUUAAUCGCCGGGCCCAAGGAGGUUCGGCGACGAGUAUCCCGAAGGGUAGUUCCGCUCUUUAACCGCUCUUCAUACGGGGUAUCGUUCAUUUAGAGAUAGUACGGUGCAACGCCUCGGGCGCCGUGCGAAACAAAGAGGCUGGGACUUGGGUUAGGCCGCCGCCUGCCGGGCUCAAGUAGAAGGACGAAACGGUCGGCUAAACGUGUAGAAAGCAGUUGGGUUCCUUGUUUGGACGCGGGUUCGACUCCCGCCAUCUCCACCA